rnacentral:rRNA from 1 species
GGGCUGGAGAAGGUCCCAAGGGUUUGGCUGUUCGCCAAUUAAAGCGGUACGUGAACUGGGUUCAGAACGUCGUGAGACAGUUCGGUCCCUAUCCUAUGCGGGCGCAGGAAACUUGAGGAGUCUCGUUCUUAGUACGAGAGGACCGGAAUGAACGGACCGACGGUGAAUGAGUUGUCACGCCAGUGGCAUUGCUCAGUAGCCAUGUCCGGAUGGGAUAAGCACUGAAAGCAUCUAAGUGCGAAACCCGCUCCAAGAUUAGGUUUCCCUUCCCGAUUUAUCGGGACUAAAGAAUCCAAGGAGAUGACUUGGUUGAUAGGCUGCAGAUAUAAACACAGUAAUGUGUGAGUCGAGCAGUACUAAUAAUUCGUGAGACUUACCAAUU